AGAGUUUGAUUAUGGCUCAGGAUGAACGCUGGCGGCGUGCCUAAUACAUGCAAGUCGAACGAGGUAGCAAUACCGAGUGGCGAACGGGUGAGUAACACGUAGGUAACCUGCCCUUAAGCUUGGGAUACCCAGAGGAAACUUUGGCUAAUACCGGAUAACAACAGAGAAGGCAUCUUCUUUGCUUGAAAGGCCCUUCAAGGGUCACUUAAGGAUGGACCUGCGGCGCAUUAGCUAGUUGGUGAGAUAACAGCCCACCAAGGCGAGGAUGCGUAGCCGAACUGAGAGGUUGAUCGGCCACAUUGGAACUGAGACACGGUCCAAACUCCUACGGGAGGCAGCAGUAAGGAGUUUUCGGCAAUGGGGGAAACCCUGACCGAGCAACGCCGCGUGAGCGAUGACGGCCCUAUGGGGUUGUAAAGCUCUGUUGUAAGCCAUGAAUGACAGCUUGAGGAAAUGCAAGUUGUUUGACGACAGCUUACCAGAAAGCCACGGCUAACUACGUGCCAGCCGCGGC
rnacentral:rRNA from 1 species